rfam:Salmo salar isolate Sally breed double haploid chromosome ssa04, whole genome shotgun sequence.
UCCCGUAUGGCUCAGUUGGUAGAGCAUUGCACUUGCAAUGCUAGGGUUGUGGGUACAAUUCCCACAAGGGAC